GCGCGCAAAUUACCCACUCCCGGCACGGGGAGGUAGUGACGAAAAAUAACGAUACGGGACUCUAACGAGGCCUCGUAAUCGGAAUGAGUACACUUUAAAUAUUUUAACGAGGAACAAUUGGAGGGCAAGUCUGGUGCCAGCAGCCGCGGUAAUUCCAGCUCCAAUAGCGUAUACUAAAAUUGUUGCGGUUAAAAAGCUCGUAGUUGCAUUUGUGCGCCGCGCUGCCGGUGCACCGCAUUAGCGGUGAUACUGACACGUCUGCGGAGCAUAUCGUCGGUGAGCCGGCGGUAAAACGCCGGUUCAAUAUCAAAAUCCUAUCGCGGUGCUCUUCGGUGAGUGUCGAGGUGGGCCGACAAUUUUACUUUGAACAAAUUAGAGUGCAGACAAAGGGGCCGAAA
rnacentral:rRNA from 1 species